rnacentral:lncRNA from 1 species
AAAGGUGCAUGACAACUCUGAGCAAGUCAAAACAACCGUCAGCAGCGGGAAACCUCGAUGAACAAACACCGGGAGAGUGUUUCUGCAGAUCCUGCUUUGUGACUUCGAGUGAAGUGUGGAAGCGCUGGAAGCACUUAGACCCUGCCUGUGCCGCAGACCCCUGGGAGGCACCAACACCCCGGAUCGAGAAGCCCGAUGGGAAAGAAUGUCUGGGAAGGACGUCAUGCCCGAGGCUUGCGUGACAGUUUCCACUCACAGUGCGCUCACUCUGAACCUCUGUGCACACGAUGGGCCUGCAUCUCUUCCCACUAUCUGCUAGGAAACACGAGGAAUCAUGGGAUUUGCCGCAGUUUGCACCCAGGCCUGUGCGGAUGCCCCCCGACUGCCCGAGAUGCUGCACCUGCCACUGCUGGGGGUGUACCUGCCUAUGCCCACUCACAGGGGCACCUCCAGGGUAGCUGCCUGGUGCAGGCAUUGGCUCUAAGCAGAGCAGCACUAUGGGCCCAUCUGGGGCUGGCUCUUGCCUGGGCCUGUGAGCACCAUCACAGCCAGCCGAUCUGGGAGUAUCCAGGGUGUUCUUGUCAUUGCGGACACUGAAUAGCCAUUGGUGGGUGGCGAUGGGGGCUUGGAAGCCGAGCAUCAGUGGCAAUGAGAAGCAGGCCCUGUGGUUUAAUUCCGAAGCACAUGAACCCACAGAGCCGCCAACAGUCGUUAUUCGGCAGGAGGGGGUACAGAGACAGCAGCCUGCGGAGCGUUCUAGGCAGGACAGGGCAGCAAACCUGACAUGCGGAGCUGGGGGCAGGGGUAAUGGGGCCAGGGGGUAAUGGCAGGUGAGGCCAUGGCCUAG